rnacentral:tRNA from 1 species
GGUGACUCAGUGGUAGAGUGCUUGCCUUGCAUGCAUGAGGCCUGGGUUCAAUUCCUCAGUACCA